UUCCCCAUACAUAGAUAAACUCACCGGUACUAGUGCCCCCCUUUAACCAACGACUCCCACGCAAAUCUCUUAUAGGCAAAGGUAAAACAAAUUCAUUUUCUGACCACUCUUGUUUUUCAGCAUCCUGCAGAACCCAUAUUUUUAGAAUAUUUGAAUUAUGGCAAACCCAUGCUAUUUUUCCUUGGUAACUCAUUAAAGUAUUCUCAAAUUUUGGUUCAAAUUGGCUACGAUGAGAAGGUAAUUGGAUUGAUUUGAAAUGUUCAGACCUCACACCAAAACUCAUAAUGAUGUCCUUCAAUCUCAUAGCCAAGAAUGCUUUGGACAACGCAGGGACAAUCCUAUGAUCGUCUCGAUCUUCUGCGAAAGAUAUAUCUGCUUUAUAAU
rnacentral:lncRNA from 1 species